rnacentral:rRNA from 1 species
CAGCCGCCGCGGUAAUGCGUAGGGUGCGAGCGUUAAUCGGAACUACUGGGCGUAAAGCGUGCGCAGGCGGUUCGUUAAGACAGAUGUGAAAUCCCCGGGCUUGACCUGGGAACUGCAUUUGUGACUGGCGAGCUAGAGUAUGGCAGAGGGGGGUAGAAUUCCACGUGUAGCAGUGAAAUGCGUAGAGAUGUGGAGGAACACCGAUGGCGAAGGCAGCCCCCUGGGCCAAUACUGACGCUCAUGCACGAAAGCUAGGGGAGCAAACAGGAUUAGAGACCCCCGUAGUCCCUGUCUCUUAUAC